rnacentral:rRNA from 1 species
GAUGAACGCUAGCGGCAGGCUUAAUACAUGCAAGUCGAGGGGCAGCAGGACUGUAGCAAUACAGUUGCUGGCGACCGGCAAACGGGUGCGGAACACGUACGCAACCUACCCAAAACUGGGGGAUAGCCCGGGGAAACCCGGAUUAAUACCUCGUAACCUUUUUAAGUGGCAUCACUUGAUAAGUAUAGCUCCGGCGGUUUUGGAUGGGCGUGCGCCUGAUUAGGUAGUUGGUGCGGGUAACGGCCCACCAAGCCUGCGAUCAGUAACUGGUGUGAGAGCACGACCAGUCACACGGGCACUGGGACACGGGCCCGACUCCUACGGGAGGCAGCAGUAAGGAAUAUUGGCCAAUGGACGCAAGUCUGAACCAGCCAUGCCGCGUGAAGGAUGAAGGUCCUCUGGAUUGUAAACUUCUUUUAUGGGGGACGAAACCCGGAUAUUCUUAUCCGAUUGACGGUACCUCAGGAAUAAGCACCGGCUAACUCCGUG